rnacentral:rRNA from 1 species
UACGGGGGGAGCAAGCGUUGUUCGGAUUUACUGGGCGUAAAGGGCGCGUAGGCGGCCAGCGCAAGUCAGUUGUGAAAUCUCCGAGCUUAACUCGGAAAGGUCAACUGAUACUGCGCGGCUAGAGUGCAGAAGGGGCAACCGGAAUUCUUGGUGUAGCGGUGAAAUGCGUAGAUAUCGAGAGGAACACCUGCGGCGAAGGCGGGUUGCUGGGCUGACACUGACGCUGAUGCGCGAAAGCUAGGGGAGCGAACGGG